UGUCUUCAGGGCGAGGUGUGAUUCCUCACCGGCGGUUAUAGUCCGCGAGCCUAUCAGGUUGAUUUGGUGAAAUUCCAAAACCGACAGUAAAGUCUGGAUGAAAGAAGAA
rnacentral:ncRNA from 1 species